rnacentral:rRNA from 1 species
AGACGCUGGCGGCAUCUUUCACAUGCAAGUCGAACGGCAGCACGGACUUCGGUCUGGUGGCGAGCUGGCGAACGGGUGAGUAAUACAUCGGAACGUGCCUGGUAGUGGGGGAUAACUACUCGAAAGAGUAGCUAAUACCGCAUGAGAUCUACGGAUGAAAGCAGGGGACCCUCGGGCCUUGUGCUACUAGAGCGGCUGAUGGCAGAUUAGGUAGUUGGUGAGAUAAUAGCUUACCAAGCCUGUGAUCUGUAGCUGGUCUGAGAGGACGACCAGCCACACUGGAACUGAGACACGGCCCAGACUCCUACGGGGAGGCAGCAGUGGGGAAAUUUGGACAAUGGGCGAAAGCCUGAUCCAGCAAUGCCGCGUGCGUGAUGAAGGCCCUCGGGUUGUAAACUGCUUUUUGUCGGAACGAAAAGCCUGUAGCUAAUAUCCUCGGGUCAUGACGGUACCGUCAGAAUAAGCACCGCUAACUUACGUGCCAGCAGCCCGGUAAUACGUAGGGGUGCAAGCGUUUAUCGGAAUUUCUGGGGCGUAAAAGCGUGCGCAAGCGGUUUUUGUAAGACAGUUGUGAAAACCCCCGGGCUCACCCUGGGAACUCCAUUGUGACUGCAAGCUAGAUGCGGCAGAGGGGGAUGAAUUUCCCCGUGUACAAUGAAAUGCGUAGAUUUGCGAGGGACACCAUGGCGAAAGCAACCCCCUGGACUGCACUGACGCUCAGCACGAAGCGUGGGGACAAC